AGGCGCAGUAGCGGGGCCCAGAGCAUACAAGGGAUUGGGCUUUGGCUUCUCUGCUGCAGCCCUGAGCUCAUAGAAGCCUCAUUCCGCCGCCUCUUUCCUUUUUAGAUCCGGGUCUUCCUCCAGCAGCUCAAGGGCCGCGUAGCCCGGGAGGCCAUUCAGAAAGUGCAUCCGGGUGGCCUUCAGGGACCAAGGCGCCGGGAGGCACAGCCCCCAGCCCCCAUCGAGGUCUGGACGGAUCUGGCUGAGAAGAUAACAGGGCCACUGGAAGAAGCCCUGGCAGUGGCCUUCUCGCAGGUGCUCACCAUCGCGGCCACGGAACCGGUCACCCUCCUGCACUCCAAGCCCCCCAAGCCCACGCAGGCCCGUGGAAAGCCUUUGCUCCUGAGCGCCCCUGGAGGACAGGAAGACCCCGCCCCUGAAAUACCUAGCUCUGCCCCUGCUGCACCUAGCUCCGCAC
rnacentral:sRNA from 1 species